GACGAACGCUGGCGGCGUGCUUAACACAUGCAAGUCGAACGGAAAGGCCCUGCUUUUGUGGGGUGCUCGAGUGGCGAACGGAUGAGUAACACGUGAGUAACCUGCCCCUGACUUUGGGAUAACUUCAGGAAACUGGGGCUAAUACCGGAUCGGAGCUCCUGCUGCAUGGUGGGGGUUGGAUAGUUUCGGCGGUUGGGGAUGGACUCGCGGCUUAUCAGCUUGUUGGUGGGGUAGUGGCUUACCAAGGCGUUGACGGGUAGCCGGCCUGAGAGGGUGACCGGCCACAUUGGGACUGAGAUACGGCCCAGACUCCUACGGGAGGCAGCAGUGGGGAAUAUUGCACAAUGGGCGGAAGCCUGAUGCAGCAACGCCGCGUGCGGGAUGACGGCCUUCGGGUUGUAAACCGCUUUCGCCUGUGACGAAGCGUGAGUGACGGUAAUGGGUAAAGAAGCACCGGCUAACUACGUG
rnacentral:rRNA from 1 species